UACGUAGGGGGCAAGCGUUGUCCGGAAUCAUUGGGCGUAAAGCGCGUGUAGGCGGCUCGAUAAGUCCGCUCUGAAAGUCCGGGGCUCAACCCCGGGAGGCGGGUGGAUACUGUCGAGCUAGAGUCCGGAAGAGGCGAGUGGAAUUCCUGGUGUAGCGGUGAAAUGCGCAGAUAUCGGAAGGAACACCUGUGGCGAAAGCGGCUCACUGGACCAUUCUGACGCUGAUGUACGAAAGCUAGGGGAGCAAACAGG
rnacentral:rRNA from 1 species